rnacentral:misc_RNA from 1 species
GUGAAUCAUCAAAUUUUUGAACGCAAAUUGCACUCUCUUCGGAGAGUAUGCCUGUUUGAGGGUCAGCCUAAAAAAAAUCGACAUCGUUGCUGUUUCGCGGUGGCGUUCGUCGGAAAUUGGGUUAUCUUAAAUCUUUUGUUUAUGCGACUUAAAAUUUUCUUUUCUAUUCCUUUAACGUUUCCUAGAUUUUUUUCUUUUCACGGUUAAGGUAUUGGUUUUAUUAUGCAUGUUCGUCAUAUCU